rnacentral:lncRNA from 1 species
GUUGAGUUGACUUGAGAAUUAUGUUGAUUUGAACUGUAGCAGGAUAUAGUAGAUGAACAGAGUUUAUUAGUAACUUAUGAACUAUGGCAUAAGGUGCUAACAAACCUUUACUCAAUUGUUAUACUCUUGCUCGAUCUAAGGAUUGGGUGUGAUAUUUAUUGAUAUCAGAGCAAAGAUAGUAGAUUACAUGGACAUAUGCAUAGCAUAAUAAAUUAUAAAUUAUGUUGCAUAGCAAAUUAACCUAAAAAGGAUAUAAGUGGUCUUCAAGUCGACUUGGAUGGUUAAUGAGUUGACUCAUUCUCAGUUAGCAGAAACAUGACUUUUUG